UUAAUUGAAGAGUUUGAUCAUGGCUCAGAUUGAACGCUGGCGGCAGGCCUAACACAUGCAAGUCGAGCGGCAGCACAGAGGAACUUGUUCCUUGGGUGGCGAGCGGCGGACGGGUGAGUAAUGCCUGGGAAAUUGCCCGGUAGAGGGGGGAUAACCAUUGGAAACGAUGGCUAAUACCGCAUAACCUCGCAAGAGCAAAGCAGGGGACCUUCGGGCCUUGCGCUACCGGAUAUGCCCAGGUGGGA
rnacentral:rRNA from 1 species